rnacentral:rRNA from 1 species
GGAGGAAAAGAAACUAACAAGGAUUCCCCUAGUAACGGCGAGUGAAGCGGGAAGAGCUCAAAUUUGAAAUCUAAUGGCCUCAGGUCAUUCGAGUUGUAAUCUAUAGGAACGUUUUCCGUGCCGGCUCAUGUACAAGUCCCUUGGAACAGGGCGUCAUAGAGGGUGAGAAUCCCGUACUUGACAUGAACUACCGGUGCUCUGUGAUACGUCUCCAACGAGUCGAGUUGUUUGGGAAUGCAGCUCAAAAUGGGUGGUAAAUUCCAUCUAAAGCUAAAUAUUGGUGUGAGACCGAUAGCGAACAAGUACCGUGAGGGAAAGAUGAAAAGCACUUUGGAAAGAGAGUUAAAAAGUAUGUGAAAUUGUUGAAAGGGAAACGAUUGAAGUCAGUCAUGUCCUUCAGAUUCAGCUGGUUCUGCCGGUGUAUUUCUGUUGGAUGGGGUCAACAUCAGUUUUGGAUGCCGGAUAAAGGCAGGAGGAAGGUAGUACUCUCGGGUAAACUUAUAGCCUCCUGUUGCAUACGGUGACUGGGACUGAGGAACGCAGCUUGCCUUCAUGGCCGGGGUUCGCCCACGUACAAGCUUAGGAUGUUGACAUAAUGGCUUUAAACGACCCGU